CCUCAUUAAAAUGCAGAUUCUGAUUCAUUCAGUAAAUCUAGGGUGGAGCUGGUCAUUCAGAAUUUCUAACAAACUUCUGAAUGAUAUUGAUGCUACUGGUCUGUGGACUAUACUUUGAGUGGCACUGCUCUAGAGGUAUUUCUAAAGUGGUCAAAUUUGACAUCAAAUACAGCCUCUGCUCACAGAAUGGUGCUGACUUCAUUAUUCUCACUUGACUGAUGAGGACUAUGUUACUUAGAGAAGUGCAGCUAUUUGCAUUCGGCAACCAAGAAUGAAUGUAGAUGCCAUUAACCAAGGGAUGCCUAAGAAAUGUGGAUACCCUUAUCCUACCCGAUCUAUAAUAUUUUAACCUGGAAAUUAGCUUUCCUAGUGCUGACACUGGCCUUGCUUACAACUUUGGCUGAAACCAAAUCAGUAGUGAUAUUGAUUAUAGCCUGUUAAACAAGUAUGGAACAUUAGAGAAAUGCAAAUUGCUCUUAACCUUCCUCUCUUCUUCCUGUUCCACCUCCUUCAUUUCCUUCCUCCUCUCACGUUAUUAUGUGCUGUUUGGAGAGUCUCCAAAUCUUCAUUUGGACCCGCAGGACAAUGGGAAAGAAUAUAUCAAGCAGAAAAUGGAAUCCUUUUUACAUUCUUGUAACAUUAACAUACAAAAAAUAUGCUUAAGAUUUCAGGUAAUACAGAUGCAACAAACAGGCUUUCACAUCGUCCCAGAAUGAUGACUGAAUACUGCAUUCUUGGUUCAGAGCAAAGCCAACAGGUGGUUCAGCUAUCUUUCUUCAUGCUUAAGAUAGAAACAAAUUCAGAAACCAGCUCUACUCCAACCAUCCUCCCUCCACACAGUCAACACAAGAAGACAGACUAUCCCCCCACCCACAUUUCUGUGGAGGACAUGCUGUCUUUUCCCAAGGCCAAGUGGAGGUCCCAAAAGAAUUUCUGUUUAAAAAAAACACAAAGUGGGGAAACCUAUAAAAAGGGUGACUGUCAUUUUUAUUCCAUUUUGAAUGUCUGCUUUACCAGAGAAUUGACGACAAUCAGAUGGGAGGAGUGAGCAUUUUACCAGUAAACCAUGUUGGAGUCACCAUCUGUCUACAACAGCUACCUGGAGUGCAUAUACAAUGAGGGAGAAUGGCAGUUACCACCAACUUCAGGCAGAACUGUGGCUGGCCCAGUCAGGAAGAUAUGUUUUGUUCUUUUCCUGCUACCUCAGCCUCACCCUGACAGGGAAGAGAGCAGCAGUGGGUAGAGGAAGGGGAGAGGAGAGAAGUGAAAGUCAGACCAUGCAACACACCCUUCCAUUACAGCAUGGCUUGAUGAGUGUUAUGUAGGUCUGCGCCCAGGAUCUGAACCUGUGAACCCUGGGCCACCAAAGUGGAGUGCACAAACUUAACCACUACCCCACCAGGCUUUGGGAAAGCCCUAGGAAUUGCCUGAUGAAGUCGCCUAGCGAUUGCCGGAGCCUGAUCAUGCAACAGGGGAAGACAUGCUCGUAAAGUGCCCAAGUUCUCCUACCAGAGGAAGUCCCGUCCUGCUGCAGCACUUCCUAGAACUGAGUGUGUAAGUCUGUCUAACUGUGGAAUUCAGUGUUGUGAAGCCUACUGACCCACAAAGAUAAACUGCAUUCUCCAAUACCUGCUUAACCAGUAAAAUAUUACUGUAUUUAGAUUCCUUCUGCCUUACUCUUUCCUUAUUCCCAAUUUAAACCUGAUUGGCUCAAAGCCCAGGUGGGAUUAGGGAUGUCAUUUAU
ensembl:lncRNA